rnacentral:rRNA from 1 species
AGGCUUCGUGGCGAAUAGCUCAGUAACACGUGGCCAAACUACCCUUCGGAACACAAUACCCUCGGGAAACUGAGGCUAAUAGUGUAUACCGUACCACCACUGGAAUGAGUGGUACGCCAAACGCUCCGGCGCCGAAGGAUGUGGCUGCGGCCGAUUAGGUAGACGGUGGGGUAACGGCCCACCGUGCCAAUAAUCGGUAUGGGUCAUGAGAGUGAGAACCCAGAGACGGAAUCUGAGACAAGAUUCCGGGCCCUACGGGGGCGCAAGCAGGGCGCCGAAACCUUUACACUGUACCGACAAGUGCCGAUAGGGGGGGGAUCCCAAGUGCACAGGCAUAGCGCCUGUGCUUUUCGGCACCCUAAGGCGGUGCCAGAAUAAGGGCUGGGCAAGACCGGUGCCAGCCGCCGCGGUAAUACCGGCAGCCCAAGUGAUGGCCGAUCUUAUUGGGCCUAAAGCGUCCGUAGCUGGCCGCGCAAGUCCAUCGGGAAAUCCACCUGCUCAACAGGUGGGCGCCCGGUAGAAACUGCGUGGCUUGGGACCGGAAGGCGCGAACGGGUACCGUUCCGGGGUACGGAAGUGAAAUUCCCCGUAAAUCCUGGGACCGGACCGGCCAU